rnacentral:rRNA from 1 species
CCUACGGGUGGCAGCAGUCGAGAAUCAUUCACAAUGGGGGAAACCCUGAUGGUGCGACGCCGCGUGGGGGAAUGAAGUUCUUCGGAUUGUAAACCCCUGUCAUGUGGGAGCAAAGUAAAAAGAUAGUACCACAAUAGGAAGAGACUGCUAACUCUGUGCCAGCAGCCGCGGUAAUACAGAGGUCUCACGCGUUGUUCGGAAUCACUGGGCGUAAAGCGUGCGUAGGCUGUUUCGUAAGUCGUGUGUGAAAGGCGCGGGCUCAACCCGCGGACGGCACAUGAUACUGCGAGACUAGAGUAAGGGAGGGGGAACCGGAAUUCUCGGUGUAGCAGUGAAAUGCGUAGAUAUCGAGAGGAACACUCGUGGCGAAGGCGGGUUCCUGGACAGUAACUGACGCUGAGGCACGAAGGCCAGGGGAGCGAAAGGGAUUAGAUACCCGGGUAGUC